rnacentral:rRNA from 1 species
GCAGUAGCCGCGGGAACACGUAGGGUGCGAGCGUUAAUCGGAAUUACUGGGCGUAAAGCGUGCGCAGGCGGUUCGUUAAGGCAGAUGUGAAAUCCCCGGGCUUAACCUGGGAACUGCAUUUGUGACUGGCGAGCUAGAGUAUGGCAGAGGGGGGUAGAAUUCCACGUGUAGCAGUGAAAUGCGUAGAGAUGUGGAGGAAUACCGAUGGCGAAGGCAGCCCCCUGGGCCAAUACUGACGCUCAUGCACGAAAGCGUGGGGAGCAAACAGGAUUAGAUACCCCGGUAGUCCCUGUCUCUUAUAC